UGCUGAUCGCCGAUAGUCGGACGUUACGACAUAGCUCCGUAUGUGUUUCCUGUGCUUUUCGAAUCGUGUGCAGACGGUGAGAGUACUGAUCGGAUGUAAUAAUCGUCUUGUGACAAAAGUGACUGUAUCGUGUACGUAGAAAUCGUGCUCGUUCGUGAUACCGGUGAUACGCAGUACGUUUGAUGAACUUGUCGCGUUGCCGCAAGGUACGUUUUCGAGAAUAUUCGCUCGAGGAUGCUUUCUCUUCGUACGUAUUCGUCUCGAGCGCUUCAUCUGCGCAGUGCAAUAUAUCGUGUCGAUGAUACGUGAGUAGAUGUCGAGCGAUAUUCGUUGACUCAAUUAGAUACAAAGGGCUUGUUUCAUCUCGCCAUUGUUCAGGUGCGAGGUACCUCACUCGGCGUGAUAUCAAGUGCUGCUCUCUUUCUUCCGGUAUCGUUACCUGCUUCUAGUCAGGCGUUUCGCGUUUUUCGAAUGUAAAUUGCGCACGGAUACGGUGUUAAAGUGACGAGUUUAGUAACGAACGGUCGUCUCGAUACGUAAGCAUAGCGUUGAAAUAAUCGUAUUGGUAGCAUGCUCCUGCAUGCGAUCUGUUGCGUUGCGACAUGUUACUUUCUCGUUUCACUCGCGUUCGUGUUCGUAUGUGAUAUUAAGCAAUACCAGAAAUGCCAAAUAAAGAAUUGGCUGGUUAUUUUAUUAACGUGUGAUUCAAGAACAGCAGUACGAGAUAUCAGCAGAAGACGAUAAUCGUGGAGUAACUCGAAUUUGGAAAGAGAAUGCAGUAGCAGCAGCAACAUCAACAAUUGAAUUUGCGGAAAGGGAAUGUAGUAGCAGC
rnacentral:lncRNA from 13 species